AGUGGGGAAUUUUGGACAAUGGGCGCAAGCCUGAUCCAGCAAUGCCGCGUGCAGGAAGAAGGCCUUCGGGUUGUAAACUGCUUUUGUCAGGGAAGAAAUCCUUUGGGUUAAUACCUCGAAGGGAUGACGGUACCUGAAGAAUAAGCACCGGCUAACUACGUGCCAGCAGCCGCGGUAAUACGUAGGGUGCGAGCGUUAAUCGGAAUUACUGGGCGUAAAGCGUGCGCAGGCGGCUUUGCAAGACAGAGGUGAAAUCCCCGGGCUCAACCUGGGAACUGCCUUUGUGACUGCAAGGCUAGAGUACGGCAGAGGGGGAUGGAAUUCCGCGUGUAGCAGUGAAAUGCGUAGAUAUGCGGAGGAACACCGAUGGCGAAGGCAAUCCCCUGGGCCUGUACUGACGCUCAUGCACGAAAGCGUGGGGAGCAAACAGGAUUAGAUACCCUGGUAGUCCACGCCCUAAACGAUGUCAACUGGUUGUUGGACGGCUUGCUGUUCAGUAACGAAGCUAACGCGUGAA
rnacentral:rRNA from 1 species